rnacentral:lncRNA from 10 species
UUCAGUGUUCUGAACCUGUAUUUUACAUUUUCAGAAAAGUUGACCACAGAAGCAUGUUUAUAUUGUAUUAAAACAAACUAUUUUUCUGGAAAGUUUUCCCAUUAAGCGUCUAACCUCCAAGCAUCGAAUCCCAGGCCAAUUUGUUAUGUCUUUAUUAGCAGGGUGAGAACAGCCUAAUACAGUCAUGUUCACAAAUUUACAAAUAACCUUUUUAUUUUCUUGAAGUUCAAAGUACCAACCUGGAGAAAAUGCCCUGGAUUUGGAAGCAAAGUAUUGAAUGUUGGAAGUCUGAAUAAAGGAAUCAUACACUGUAUGUGCACCUGAAUGUACUUUACAAGCAUCAGUAGAACACUUCUGAUUGAAGCUUGGUCUUAUGAAGAUAAAAAUUUUAUGUGGACCACAGAUUCUCU